ensembl:lncRNA novel transcript
GACACUCGAGUAGCCCUAUAGAGAGAUCUAUGUGGUGAGAAAUUAUGGCCUCCUGCUAGAAGCUAGUGAGAAACUGAAACUUCUUGCCAACAGCCAUGUGAGUGGGCCAUCUUGAAAGUAGAUCCUCUAGCCUCGGUCAAGCCUUCAGAUGAUGCAGCCCCCUCCAACAGCUUGACGAAUCGCUAAGUUAGGUUUCCGGAAAUUUCUGACAUGGAAAAGGAAGGAGCAUUUGAAUUUGUUUCAUACACUACAGUUUUGCUGAUUAAAAAAUGAUUCAUCUUCUACAGAGAAAACUCCAAGAAGAAAAUCUGGAAAUUUUGGCCUGAUAUAUACAGAGACCAGAUGGUUAACAGUUCUGGGAACCCUAAAGAACCAUUUGCUACUUCUGACAGUCGGGAAGCCACUGAUACACAGCAGAAUCUGAGGCCCAAUAAAAUUAUGCCAAUGGAUCAACAUCAUUAGAAAAAUGUAUAUAUCAUGAAGCUUCCCCAGGAGAGUCAGCACCCUGAAGGAAAUCCCAUUCAUUCAUUUAGAUGCAUGAAUU